rnacentral:rRNA from 1 species
UACGUAGGGUGCGAGCGUUAAUCGGAAUUACUGGGCGUAAAGGGUGCGCAGGCGGCUUGCUAAGACAGGUGUGAAAGCCCCGAGCUUAACUUGGGAAUGGCGCUUGUGACUGGCAGGCUGGAGUGUGGCAGAGGGAGGUGGAAUUCCACGUGUAGCAGUGAAAUGCGUAGAGAUGUGGAGGAACACCGAUGGCGAAGGCGGCGUUCUGGACUGCAACUGACACUGAGGAACGAAAGCCAGGGGAGCAAACGGG